rnacentral:rRNA from 1 species
UAAUACAUGCAAGUCGAACGCGCAGCGAAAGGUGCUUGCACCUUUCAAGCGAGUGGCGAACGGGUGAGUAACACGUGGAUAACCUGCCUCAAGGCUGGGGAUAACAUUUGGAAACAGAUGCUAAUACCGAAUAAAACUUAGUAUCGCAUGAUACAAAGUUGAAAGGCGCUACGGCGUCACCUAGAGAUGGGUCCGCGGUGCAUUAGUUAGUUGGUGGGGUAAAGGCCUACCAAGACAAUGAUGCAUAGCCGAGUUGAGAGACUGAUCGGCCACAUUGGGACUGAGACACGGCCCAAACUCCUACGGGAGGCUGCAGUAGGGAAUCUUCCACAAUGGGCGAAAGCCUGAUGGAGCAACGCCGCGUGUGUGAUGAAGGCUUUAGGGUCGUAAAGCACUGUUGUAUGGGAAGAAAUGCUAGAAUAGGGAAUGAUUCUAGUUCGACGGUACCAUACCAGAAAGGGACGGCUAAAUACGUGCCAGCAGCCGCGGUAAUACGUAUGUCCCGAGCGUUAUCCGGAUUUAUUGGGCGUAAAGCGAGCGCAGACGGUUGAUUAAGUCUGAUGUGAAAGCCCGGAGCUCAACUCCGGAAUGGCAUUGGAAACUGGUUAACUUGAGUGUUGUAGAGGUAAGUGGAACUCCAUGUGUAGCGGUGGAAUGCGUAGAUAUAUGGAAGAACACCAGUGGCGAAGGCGGCUUACU